rnacentral:rRNA from 1 species
UGAGUAACACGUAUCCAACCUGCCGUCUACUCUUGGACAGCCUUCUGAAAGGAAGAUUAAUACAAGAUGGCAUCAUGAGUUCACAUGUUCACAUGAUUAAAGGUAUUCCGGUAGACGAUGGGGAUGCGUUCCAUUAGAUAGUAGGCGGGGUAACGGCCCACCUAGUCUUCGAUGGAUAGGGGUUCUGAGGGAAGGUCCCCCACAUUGGAACUGAGACACGGUCCAA